UUACUGUUCCUUCUGUCUGGUAAAAGAAUCCAUCCUGUGUGCAGUAUAGCCCUGACCUGCAUGUGUCUGUGCCCUGAUCCCCACAUCAGUACAACAGCAGAGGGCAUAAGAGAGGGUUGCUAGCUAUCACAUGUCUGCUGGAAUGCCUCCAGAUCAUGGGGUGUCAGAAAUCUGCUAUCAAUUGGCAUUUCAGUUAUCACCUUGUCAAGGCUCAAACUGGGUGUUUGUAUUCUAAACAAUGAGCUCACUUGGCAUAGGUCCUUCUAAACCUGUUCCAGAGGCUGACCAGCCAAGCCUGAACCUGGACAACAAAGACCAGUGGCCACUGAGGGGUUGUCAGAGUACAUACAGGAUCUACCUGUAGAUUUCAGGGCUCAAUACACGGCCUGUUGUGCAGACUGCGGGCACAGCCUGGUGCGGACACUUCAAUGGCGACAACUCUUACUCUUCUGCAAUCUUCAAACCAAACACACGAUGUCAAGACUUGAUUUGAACUGAAAGGAUUUUCUGUAUCGUGUUUCAAUAUCCCCUCAGCACAACAGUGAAGGACCAAGCCCAUUUUGCAAUACUAUCUUGAUAGAUAUGGAGGCAAACAGAUCAAUCUGUGGGAGAAGCAGAGUUUGGUUUGUGGAGAGAGGAUUUACAAGUAAUCCACACCAACAAGCGUCUUCAUAACGUCAAGCGGUAACUUGAUUUGGCACCUGUCUCCUUGCUCUCUUUGAGUAUUUGGAGAGUUUAGCCUGCUGAAUUGGACCCUUCAUCUCAACAGGCAAUGUGAACAACAGACUUCCUCACUGUUAUCACUAAACCCAUGAACAACUUCACUGGAAGUCUGAAGCAGUAUGUAAAAUUGUUUUUUUUUUUUUCAUAAUCAGAAUACAUGUGAGCAUUUUGUCCCUGUUUGUAGUUCAUCCCAGAUGUUCCUUGAAAUAGUCUGAGAAGUAUUGUUAGUGUAAAAGUUUGUGAACAUUUAAUGGGUUUCCUUGAAGUGAAAAUAAAGUUGUUGACAAGUACUGAUAUCAAAGCUCAUCUCGCCUUAAUCCUUUGCAGGACAAAGAAAAACAGCAAGCACACAAUACUUCAAGACCAUAUGGCUGCCUGAAAGUGUAAGCAGUUCACUGGUUUAAGGUAAAUGUUAGAUUUGAAGUAAAAAGAAAGUACAGUCAGGCUACUGAAAACUAUGCAUAAAAAUGCUUUCAAUUAUUUUUGUCUACAUUGUUUGAGGAGUGUUAAAUACAUUCUUACUGAAUUUUAUGGCAUUGGCCUUUACACACUACAUGUAUACUGUCGAUAUUUAAAAAACCUGAUGUCAUGCCAGCUGUUUUUUUUGUUUUUUUUUGUUUUUGCAAGACAAUAACAAACAAAAAAACAAUCACUUUGUUGUAACUGUUGUUAAAGAGUCUUUUAUUUUGGAAAAACAAAAAGUGUCCAAAUGCAUCUGACGUAUGUCCAAAAUUUCCUAACUGUGAUAGCCUUGAUAGUUCCCGACCAAUUAAUGACCUGUACAGGAAAGCUGUUUAUCAUGCAUACUUGAGUAUAUGCUCAGAUUCUCCACUGUUGGGUAGAUUUCUGAAUCAGUUAACAAAUGAAGAGAAUAUUUCAUAUUUUUCAACCACUGAAGAAGAGUGUCUCAAAUUACCUGACAUCAUACUAUAUUUCCUUUCAAAAUUUAAGCACAUUGUACAUAGGCAUGGGCCAUCUAUAAGGAUUCAUGCAAAGUGAAAUCCUUACUUACAGGAAAUACUUACAGGAAAUACUUACAGGUACCUUCAUCAGGACAAUUAAUAGCCUCAGUCAUUAAUCUGUUACAGAAGUCUUUCUGAACGUUACUUAUGGUUGGUUCCUUCACAUUUUACAUCAAAAAAAAAGUUAUUAAAUGUGUUUACUGAUACAUUAAAAUGUAAAUGUAAGGAUCUAUAUUGUUAAGAUCAUUAAUAUGAAAUCCUUAAGAAUUUAAAGGAUUCUUAAUGACUUUACCAACAAGGUAUUAAUAAUUUAUUACAUGUACCACUAUCAUACUAUGUUAGCUCAAAUCUAUUGCACAGGAAUAUAAAUACUUUUCUUGAGAAGAGUUUUCUUGAGCAUUUAAAUAGUAAUGGAAAUUACACCAGUUACAUGUGAUUUAUUUACUGGCAAUAAAACCCAUCAAUGAUAAUAAAGACUCUGGAGCAUGAAGAUUAAAUGUUGUGAUGUUAUCAUGUACCGGUACAAACACAAACAUGUCUGCUGCGUGAUUAUAGCUAGAAGUACAUGUACAUGUACUGUAGAGGUUAGUAUGUGAAGAUAGGUCAGUCUUACAGGUACUUGGCUAAUUAACAGUGCCCUAAGGGAAUUUAAUUUGCACCCAGGCUUCUGCUCUUGGAUUUUUUAGAUACAAAAUGGAGCCUUCCGAUCGCAAACAUGAGUGAAGUGAAAGAGACAGGGUAUGUUCUCAUUAUCUAAGCCUGAUACCGUGUAACAACAAAACUUACAUUAUUAAAUGAAAUUUCAGGACAAACAAAUUAAAACAUUGAAUUAUUGUGUAAAAAUAUAGGAGUAUUUUUUCUCAAUUUUUAGUUCAUAUCAAAAGAUAAAAAUUUUUUUUAAUUAUACAUGUGUACCUAAAGAUUUAGCUCUAUUCUUCAAUGUGAUUUACUGUACAUGACGUACUUAAAUUUUUUUUUCUUCUUCAGCAGUACGGCAGCCAAAGCACAUGUGUCAUAUACAUAAACCUUAUCGGGAAAGUCGAUCAGCUGUAAAGAAUCACAUUGGCCUGCCUUUAUAUGAUAAGUCAAUAAUGGCAGCAAACCCAGUUUAUGACACAAAACGAGAACAGUGAUUCUGGUCAGGAGAAAACAAAAUAACAAGCAAUUAUUUGCUUCUUCAUGAUUUAUCAACAAAGAUAUUGUGAUUUAUUAUUUUUACUGGGCAAUACCUGUUAGUGCCUGGCACAGCUGCCCAUCACUGUAGCCAGAACCCUGUGCUCCGGUAUCCAUUUAAUUAAAAACAUAGGAAUCUUAAUUCAUCCAUUCUGUCCACAACCUUUCAUCUAAUGGACUUCAGACUAGCCAGCUGUAUUGCUGAGAACCCAAGGAAGAACAGUAUGAAGUAAUAAUAAUUACUUGUAUGGACAUUAAGCAAUGAUGAUGUCACAAAUGGGCACUGCACAGCAGCACUAGUUCUCAUGAAAGAGAUGAAUAGACAAUUAUAGGGAAAGCUAUAAGAAGGGGACUCA